rnacentral:misc_RNA from 1 species
GAUGAAGAACGUAGCGAAAUGCGAUAAGUAAUGUGAAUUGCAGAAUUCAGUGAACCAUCGAAUCUUUGAACGCACAUUGCGCCCGCUGGAACUCCGGCGGGCACGCCUGUCCGAGCGUCAUUUCAACCCUCAGGCCCCCCUUCGCGGGCGGGCCUGGUGUUGGGGCCCGGCCGCUACCCUGCGGCCGUCCCCUAAAUUCAGUGGCGGCCUCGCCGUGAUCCCUUGCGUAGUAAUGCACCUCGCACCGGAGAGCGCCGUGGCCACGCCGUAAAACCCCCAAUUUUCAAUGGUUGACCUCGGAUCAGGUGGGAAUACCCGCUGAACUUAAGCAUAUCAAUAAGCGGAGGA